GACGAACGCUGGCGGCGUGCUUAACACAUGCAAGUCGAACGGAAAGGCCCUGCUUUUGUGGGGUGCUCGAGUGGCGAACGGGUGAGUAACACGUGAGUAACCUGCCCUUGACUUUGGGAUAACUUCAGGAAACUGGGGCUAAUACCGGAUAGGAGCUCCUGCUGCAUGGUGGGGGUUGGAAAGUUUCGGCGGUUGGGGAUGGACUCGCGGCUUAUCAGCUUGUUGGUGGGGUAGUGGCUUACCAAGGCUUUGACGGGUAGCCGGCCUGAGAGGGGGACCGGCCACAUUGGGACUGAGAUACGGCCCAGACGCCUACGGGAGGCAGCAGUGGGGAAUAUUGCACAAUGGGCGGAAGCCUGAUGCAGCAACGCCGCGUGCGGGAUGACGGCCUUCGGGUUGUAAACCGCUUUCGCCUGUGACGAAGCGUGAGUGACGGUAAUGGGUAAAGAGGCGCCGGCUAACUACGUG
rnacentral:rRNA from 1 species